rnacentral:rRNA from 1 species
AGUGAACGCUGGCGGUAGGCCUAACACAUGCAAGUCGAACGACAGCACAGUAAGCGCUUGCCCUUACGGGUGGCGGGGGACGGACGGGUAAGACGUACAUAGGCUUCUUAUUUUUCUGGGGGAAUAUCGUGGGAAAGCUUCCGCUACUGCCGAAUACAACCAACGGCUGAAAUCAGGGGUGAUUGGCGCUUUUGCUGUUAGAUUGAGCCGAUGCCGGAUUAGCUAGUUGGGGUGGUAAGGGCACACCAAGGCGACGAUCCGUAGCCGGCCUGAGAGGGUGAUCAGCCACACUGGAACUGAGACACGGUCCAGACUCCUACGGGAGGCAGCAGUAGGGAAUAUUCGACAAUGGGCGCAAGCCUGAUGCAGCCAUGCCGCGUGAGUGAUGAAGGUCUUCGGGUUGUAAAGCUCUUUUAUUGGGGAAGAACAAAUGCAUAUGUAACUCCGGCCGUUUUGACGGUACCUAAAGAGAAAGCACCGGCUAACUUCGUG